rnacentral:rRNA from 1 species
GAUGAACGCUGGCGGCGUGCCUAAUACAUGCAAGUCGAGCGAACAGACGAGGAGCUUGCUCCUCUGACGUUAGCGGCGGACGGGUGAGUAACACGUGGAUAACCUACCUAUAAGACUGGGAUAACUUCGGGAAACCGGAGCUAAUACCGGAUAAUAUAUUGAACCGCAUGGUUCAAUAGUCAAAGACGGUUUUGCUGUCACUUAUAGAUGGAUCCGCGCCGCAUUAGCUAGUUGGUAAGGUAACGGCUUACCAAGGCGACGAUGCGUAGCCGACCUGAGAGGGUGAUCGGCCACACUGGAACUGAGACACGGUCCAGACUCCUACGGGAGGCAGCAGUAGGGAAUCUUCCGCAAUGGGCGAAAGCUUGACGGAGCAACGCCGCGUGAGUGAUGAAGGUCUUCGGAUCGUAAAACUCUGUUAUUAGGGAAGAACAAAUGUGUAAGUAACUAUGCACGUCUUGACGGUACCUAAUCAGAAAGCCACGGCUAACUACGUG